rnacentral:rRNA from 1 species
CCUACGGGUGGCAGCAGUGGGGAAUAUUGGGCAAUGGGCGCAAGCCUGACCCAGCAACGCCGCGUGAAGGAAGAAGGCCUUCGGGUUGUAAACUUCUUUUGACAGGGAAGAGCAGAAGACGGUACCUGUCGAAUAAGCCACGGCUAACUACGUGCCAGCAGCCGCGGUAAUACGUAGGCGGCAAGCGUUGUCCGGAUUUACUGGGUGUAAAGGGCGUGUAGCCGGGCUGACAAGUCAGAUGGGAAAUCCGGGGGCUCAACCCCGGGACUGCAUUUGAAACUGGUGGUCUUGGGGAUCGGAGAGGCAGGCGGAAUUCCUAGUGUAGCGGUGGAAAGGGUAGAUAUUAGGGGGAACACCAGUGGCGAAGGCGGCCUGCUGGACGACAACUGACGGUGAGGCGCGAAAGCGUGGGGAGCAAACAGGAUUAGAUACCCCUGGUAGUC